rnacentral:rRNA from 1 species
UACGUAGGGGGCAAGCGUUGUCCGGAUUUAUUGGGCGUAAAGAGCGUGUAGGCGGCCAGGUAGGUCUGCUGUGAAAACUCGAGGCUUAACCUCGAGCUGUCGGCGGAAACCAUCUGGCUAGAGUCCGGAAGAGGAGAAUGGAAUUCCCGGUGUAGCGGUGAAAUGCGCAGAUAUCGGGAAGAACACCCGUGGCGAAGGCGGUUCUCUGG